GGCCCAAUGGCGUAACUGGUAACGCGCACAUUUGCAGUACUGUGAAAAGUCACAGUGACUCGUAAUCUACAAAUGCGAGAACCUUGUUCGAUUUGAGGUCGGGCCC